AUCUUUGUACAGUAGCAAUAUUGUAACUUAUGAGGUUGAACUGAGGUAUGAUCAUUGCUACUUGAAAACUUUUCCCAAUAUCCUGCUCAGAUGGCUUUAAAUACAGCUGUGGUGGGCAAUUUUCAGUAGUCUCUGUGGAGA
rfam:Alligator mississippiensis ScZkoYb_84.2, whole genome shotgun sequence.